GACCUUUGGAGGACCACAGUACUCAUCAAUAAAAAACAAAUCUUAGUAAUUAGUUAUUGAAAAUCCAUAAUAAAUAAAAGAGAGAGCACCAUGGAACAACACAAAUCCUGUUGUGCUUGAUUAUUUUUUCAUUUUCUUGCAGCCAUUUAAAUGAAGAAUUGUUGGAUUCGAUGUAGGAAUUUCGGAUUUUUAGUGUUGAAAUCUGUCCGAACCCCUUCAGUACACAAGCAAAGAAACUGAUCAAACUUUUAUGGCAUAUGAAGAAUAUCGGUUGUCUUGUGGAGAGAGUAAAAAGCUAUUUCUGUGCUUCUGUUUGCUAACUUGGAGCAUAAAAAUAAUGUAUGGUGCCAGGCAGCGUUCGAUCACCCACCUGGCAGAAAAAAGGCUCUCCACCGACUUCUGGGAUUGGUCGGAGGUCACAGAGGGACUCCUUUGGGAGACUUGGAGAAAAACAGAAAGCAGAGGAAGAAAACAAGGAAUAAGGAAGAUUUUUUUAUCUUUACAGAUUUCACUUUUAGUCACUAACAGAGGUUUGACUUCACUAAAACGUCCUUUUUAAAAAAAAAAUAAAAGCACCUUUAUGCUUGUUUUUUAAGUUCAUCAAUAGCAGAGAAAAACACUGAAACCUUCUUUUGUUAUUAACACAUUCUGCGCUCGCCCAGGAGAUGAAAAACCUGUCAGUCUCAUGUCAAAGGUCUUUGUGAUGAUGUCCCCGAGCAGCAGAUCUGUUCUCCUCACCCUCUGUGAAGCUGCACCUCUCCCAGCCAGCGGAGGACGGAGUGCUGCACGGUGAGGCGCCAUCCUCUCCAUCUGAGAACGUCAACAUGUCAGCAACUACUUUCAGAAAUUUUCCCCAAAACAGACUCUAACCAGUAAUAAUGUUCAUGUUAAACUAAAAAGAAAAAAAA